rnacentral:rRNA from 1 species
UACAGAGGGUGCAAGCGUUGUUCGGAAUUACUGGGCGUAAAGCGUGCGUAGUCGGUAUUGAGAGUCGCGGGUGAAAUCCCAGGGCUUAACCCUGGAACUGCCUGCGAGACCUCAGUACUAGAGUGUGAGAGGGGAUAGUGGAAUACCAAGUGUAGCGGUGAAAUGCGUAGAGAUUUGGUAGAACACCGGUGGCGAAGGCGGCAUCCUGGACCGACAUUGACGCUGAGGAGCGAAAGCUAGGGGAGCAAACGGGG